GAGAGAAAGCGGUCUAGAGAUUCCAGAACACAAGAGCUUAUCCUUCAAACUCGAAACUCGAGCUGAUGACCCCUCUUCGUCUUCUCCGUCCGGCGACGACAUGGCGGCGGACCAGUCUUGCUCGACAUGCCUCUUCGUUCCGCUUUGAUCUUUGGUCACGAAUCGUCCAUGUGUGGAAGAAGAGUUGAAGUCAGAAAUUUGACAACUCCGAUGGCUCUGCAACAAUUUUCAGCGACUACGGUUUUCAAUGAUGACAUACGAGCUUCUUGGGAGUCCUUGGGUUCAUGUCUAAUGCUGGUUUGAGUUUCAGAUUAAGAAGUGAAGCUGGGUCAUGUGAGUUUUCAGACUUGUGAAGUGAAGCACAAUUGGCAGAAUUUGUGAAAUCUGGUAGUGAAGUGUUUGGCUUAAUUCGAACGGGAUCGAAGGUGAGGAGGUUUAAGGUGUGUAGCCGUAGAGCUCUUCUGAGAAUCACACAACACCUUAAUUAAGUUUACAACUCUAUUUGCCAUAAGAAUGGUGAAGUACUGGAUUGGGAGAGCAAAGGGAGAAUCUAUCCAGCUGCGGUGUUGUUCAAAAGGGAGCAGCUGCAACUCGGUCAUGAUCUGAUCAUAAGGGAAGCCAUCUGGUCCUUGUGCCACACUCGUUAAUUGCUAGAAGGGGUGCAGACUUGACUCAUAAUUGAUUCAUGCAUUAUGAUCAGAGGUAUAAUUUCUUGUCCUUGAUUAUGGGAUUGUGUUUGGAAUUAUACUGAAUGGUGAAGUUUAUAGAAAUAUGUUGACCAUGAGAGUCUGAUAUUCAUCAGUAAUUGCCAAGAAAAGAAUUGAGUUUCAUAGAGUAGAAAGGAUGUGUAGGUUAACUUAUGAGGAUUAACUACCAAGUAUGCAUUUAUGCUUCAACUAUUGCAAAUGCAUGUUAAAGAGAGAGGCAUAUCGUGUUAUGAGCACCAAGGGAACAAGGAUAAAUUGCUGAUUGUGAAUUUGGUGUAGAUAUAAUUAUUGA